GUGCUUGCUUCAGCAGCAUAUAUACUAAAGCUGAAAUGAGAACAUUAGCAUGGCCUCUCCACCAGGAUGCCAUGCAAUUCAUGAAACAUUUCCAUCUUUCUU